GUGAGUAACACGUGGGCAACCUACCUUAUAGUUUGGGAUAACUCCGGGAAACCGGGGCUAAUACCGAAUAAUCUGUUUCACCUCAUGGUGAAAUAUUGAAAGACGGUUUCGGCUGUCGCUAUAGGAUGGGCCCGCGGCGCAUUAGCUAGUUGGUGAGGUAACGGCUCACCAAGGCGACGAUGCGUAGCCGACCUGAGAGGGUGAUCGGCCACACUGGGACUGAGACACGGCCCAGACUCCUACGGGAGGCAGCAGUAGGGAAUCUUCCACAAUGGGCGAAAGCCUGAUGGAGCAACGCCGCGUGAGUGAAGAAGGAUUUCGGUUCGUAAAACUCUGUUGUAAGGGAAGAACAAGUACAGUAGUAACUGGCUGUACCUUGACGGUACCUUAUUAGAAAGCCACGGCUAACUACGUGCCAGCAGCCGCGGUAAUACGUAGGUGGCAAGCGUUGUCCGGAAUUAUUGGGCGUAAAGCGCGCGCAGGUGGUUUCUUAAGUCUGAUGUGAAA
rnacentral:rRNA from 1 species